CCGAUUCAAGGUAUUCCUUAUUUCUUUUUUUGUAUGAGUUUUCUUAUUAAUUUAAUAUGAUACUUGUUUUGUGGUUGGAUUGAUCGGUUAGGGCUUUUUUGUCCCUUUUAAUCUGCAUCUAUUCGAUUCUCAUUUCGAUUAUGAACCAAAAGAUUUGAGAGAGAUGGUCAUUCCAAUUUUCUUUUCAAUCCGCUCUUAUUUUGAUUCCGAUUCUUAUGG
rnacentral:lncRNA from 1 species